rnacentral:lncRNA from 1 species
ACUAAAUUUACUAAAUGAGAGAAUAUCUGAUGGAGUCUUAUUUGCAUGUCAGCUGAUUGUUCUCUAGUGGGAGUAGUGCAAGUGAUCUUUAGACCUGACAUCACUAUAGUACAUUGUGUAUAUGAAUCUAUGUUUUGGUUCAUUCCCUAACUUGACUCUUUGAGCCUUGUGUGGGGUGUUCUGGAUAUAGUGAAGUGUGCAUGGAGGUUGUGAAUGGUCAACAAAAAAUUGAUCAAUUUUUAUGAGGAGAGAGAAUAUCGUAUGUGAUCUCAUAGGAUGAUGACUCAAGAAGUUUCUGGCUAGAGCAGGAUGAACAUUAGAAAGAGUUUCUAAUGGUUCAUCAAUUGAGUCAUUAUCAUCAGAUCGAGAUACAUAUAGAUAGAUAUUUGGGCUUGACAGUUUUUUAUAUCCACGACCUAUCUGGGAUGUUAUUUGAUCGAAGGAUUGAAUUGCAUGGUAACUUACCACUGAAAGAUAUUUUUGAUAUUUUCAUCAAAUUUCAUACCUUUCGGAUAGUCAUGAUAUAUUGUGAGAUAUCAAUCUUGACUUGUGGAUUCACAAGAAUUAAAGAGUUUAAUUUAGUAAUUAAUUCAAAAGAGUUUUGAUUAAUUAAUGUAUUUGGGCUGACC